rnacentral:rRNA from 1 species
GCGGCGUGCUUAACACAUGCAAGUCGAACGGAAAGGCCCUGCUUUUGUGGGGUGCUCGAGUGGCGAACGGGUGAGUAACACGUGAGUAACCUGCCCUUGACUUUGGGAUAACUUCAGGAAACUGGGGCUAAUACCGGAUAGGAGCUCCUGCUGCAUGGUGGGGGUUGGAAAGUUUCGGCGGUUGGGGAUGGACUCGCGGCUUAUCAGCUUGUUGGUGGGGUAGUGGCUUACCAAGGCUUUGACGGGUAGCCGGCCUGAGAGGGUGACCGGCCACAUUGGGACUGAGAUACGGCCCAGACUCCUACGGGAGGCAGCAGUGGGGAAUAUUGCACAAUGGGCGGAAGCCUGAUGCAGCAACGCCGCGUGCGGGAUGACGGCCUUCGGGUUGUAAACCGCUUUCGCCUGUGACGAAGCGUGAGUGACGGUAAUGGGUAAAGAAGCACCGGCUAACUACGUGCCAGCAGCCGCGGUGAUACGUAGGGUGCGAGCGUUGUCCGGAUUUAUUGGGCGUAAAGGGCUCGUAGGUGGUUGAUCGCGUCGGAAGUGUAAUCUUGGGGCUUAACCCUGAGCGUGCUUUCGAUACGGGUUGACUUGAGGAAGGUAGGGGAGAAUGGAAUUCCUGGUGGAGCGGUGGAAUGCGCAGAUAUCAGGAGGAACACCAGUGGCGAAGGCGGUUCUCUGGGCCUUUCCUGACGCUGAGGAGCGAAAGCGUGGGGAGCGAACAGGCUUAGAUACCCUGGUAGUCCACGCUGUAAACGGUGGGUACUAGGUGUGGGGUCCAUUCCGCGGGUUCCGUGCCGUAGCUAACGCUUUAAGUACCCCGCCUGGGGAGUACGGCCGCAAGGCUAAAACUCAAAGGAAUUGACGGGGCCCCGCACAAGCGGCGGAGCAUGCGGAUUAAUUCGAUGCAACGCGUAGAACCUUACCUGGGUUUGACAUGGAUCGGGAGUGCUCAGAGAUGGGUGUGCCUCUUUUGGGGUCGGUUCACAGGUGGUGCAUGGCUGUCGUCAGCUCGUGUCGUGAGAUGUUGGGUUAAGUCCCGCAACGAGCGCAACCCUUGUUCACUGUUGCCAGCACGUUAUGGUGGGGACUCAGUGGAGACCGCCGGGGUCAACUCGGAGGAAGGUGGGGAUGACGUCAAGUCAUCAUGCCCCUUAUGUCCAGGGCUUCACGCAUGCUACAAUGGCUGGUACAGAGAGUGGCGAGCCUGUGAGGGUGAGCGAAUCUCGGAAAGCCGGUCUCAGUUCGGAUUGGGGUCUGCAACUCGACCUCAUGAAGUCGGAGUCGCUAGUAAUCGCAGAUCAGCAACGCUGCGGUGAAUACGUUCCCGGGGCUUGUACACACCGCCCGUCAAGUCAUGAAAGUUGGUAACACCCGAAGCCGGUGGCCUAACCGUUGUGGGGGAGCCGUCGAAGGUGGGACUGGUGAUUAGGACUA